AGAGUUUGAUCMUGGCUCAGGACGAACGCUGGCGGCGUGCCUAACACAUGCAAGUCGAACGGCURAUCGAUGUCCGAAGUCCGAGAUCCGAAGUCCGAAUAUAAGUAAGAAUUUUGGGUAAGUUUAAGACUCAAAAAGAUACUUGAAUUCGGACAUCGAGCAUCGGACUUCGGACUUCGGUUGGCAGUGGCGGACGGGUGAGUAACGCGUGGGUAACCUACCCAUAAAGCCGGGACAACCCUUGGAAACGAGGGCUAAUACCGGAUAAGCUUGAGAAGUGGCAUCACUUUUUAAGGAAAGGUGGCCGAUGAGAAUGCUGCCGAUUAUGGAUGGACCCGCGUCUGAUUAGCUGGUUGGUGGGGUAAAGGCUUACCAAGGCGACGAUCAGUAGCCGGCCUGAGAGGGUGAACGGCCACACUGGGACUGAGACACGGCCCAGACUCCUACGGGAGGCAGCAGUGGGGAAUCUUCCGCAAUGGACGAAAGUCUGACGGAGCAACGCCGCGUGUAUGAUGAAGGUCUUCGGAUUGUAAAGUACUGUCUUUGGGGAAGAAUGGUGUGCUUAAAAAUAUUGAGUACAAAUGACGGUACCCAAGGAGGAAGCCCCGGCUAACUACGUGCCAGCMGCCGCGGUAAUA
rnacentral:rRNA from 1 species